rnacentral:lncRNA from 1 species
GUUUUGAUUGGCUUAGGUAUAUGGUUACAAACCCAGAAGGAAGCCACAGACUUUGUAUCUGGGCUGCACUGGGGGAAUGAAGAGGAUCCAAUGAUCCUUAUAUGGGUUACUGUUUCCACAUCCCUAUGUUUCAACUAUAUGAUAGAGAUGGAAGGCAUCAGGGAGUCUUUCUUUGUGGAACUACAUAACUGAAAUGAAAAGCUGGUUUGGAUAGAGGGAAGACCAUGAAGGCGCAUCAUCCAUGUGAAGGCUUUGCAUCAGAUGAGAGACAAACUAGAUCAAGUAGCCAGCAUGUCCUGGAGGAACUAACCUGUUGAGUUUGCAUGAGAAAAUCUUUACAGAGGCAGAAGGAGAAUUCUAUUGUUUGAGACCAAAUGGCAUGACAAUAAUGUCAGAGUUGGGUUAACGCUUCCAGCUUGACUUGCCAGCCCGGUGCCCUGCAGCCUGGGCAGGCAGGCACCACUACGAUGAGCAGCUGCACUCCAGGGAAAGUGUUCAAUGUCAACCCUGCUCUUCAAACAAUGAGACUGGACCCAGUUCUAGCUCCAGAGAAGCUAGGAAGUAAGGAGGACCCUAAGAGUGACAUCCAUCAAUACCUGCAGAAGAGGAAAAAGACAAGAUCUCCUGAGGUUGGCAUGACUUUGUUAGCCUUAAUUAUCCACUCUCUCAUAUCAUUAAAAUAGAAAAACAAUUCAAAACAUUUUGAAGAAGCAUAUUACGGACUGUUCAAAUGUUUUGAGUGGGGGAGUCAGCAAUUGGGAAAUUAAGACAAUCGUGGAAUUCAGGAGCAAGCAAAAACUAGGAAAAUCCCAGUGCUCACAGACAGUUAAUAAUCAACUGUUUUGAUGCUGCAUUCAGUACUGAGUCCAGUACUGCCAUGAUGAGCACAGAUGGAAAUGUUGACCCAAAUAAACCAUAAGAUAACCUUCCUCAACAUCAACGGAGUUACAGCAAUUAACAGUCAAAGGUCUUGUCUUUCCAAAAGGCAUCCUGGAAGGAGAACCUGGCUAUGCAUCAUUUAUUCGAGAGGUGACCCUGGAAAGCACAGUCACAGUAUGAAGUGAGACAAGGAAAGCCGAUAAAGAAGGAUUGUAGCAAUGGAUCCCUGGUACUGGUACCCAGAAGGAUCUGUGAAGAACGCAGGUCAGGGAUGUCCUCUCAUAGAUCCAGGGUUUUCAUUAAGCAUAAGAUUAAAAAAAAAAAAAAGGCAUUACAGUAUG